rnacentral:rRNA from 1 species
UACGUAGGGUGCAAGCGUUGUCCGGAAUUAUUGGGCGUAAAGAGCUCGUAGGCGGCUAGUCACGUCGGAUGUGAAAACCCGAGGCUCAACCUCGGGCCUGCAUUCGAUACGGGCUGGCUAGAGUACUGCAGGGGAGACUGGAAUUCCUGGUGUAGCGGUGAAAUGCGCAGAUAUCAGGAGGAACACCGGUGGCGAAGGCGGGUCGCUGGGACGGUACUGACGCUGAGGCGCGAAAGCGUGGGGAGCGAACAGG